rnacentral:rRNA from 1 species
AACGAACGCUGGCGGCAUGCCUAACACAUGCAAGUCGAACGAGAUCUUCGGGUCUAGUGGCGCACGGGUGCGUAACGCGUGGGAAGCUGCCCUCAGGUUCGGAAUAACAGUUGGAAACGACUGAUAAUACCGGAUGAUGACUAAAGUCCAAAGAUAUAUCGCCAGAGGAUGAGCCCGCGUAGGAUUAGCUAGUGGGUGUGGUAAAGGCGCACCAAGGUGACGUUCCUUAGCUGGUCUGAGAGGAUGAUCAGCCACACUGGGACUGAGACACGGCCCAGACUCCUACGGAAGGCAGCAGCGGGGAAUAUUGGACAAUGGGCGAAAGCCUGAUCCAGCAAUGCCGCGUGAGUGAUGAAGGCCUUAGGGUUGUAAAGCUCUUUUACCCGGGAUGAUAAUGACAGUACCGGGAGAAUAAGCUCCGGUUAACUCCGUGCCAGCCGCCGCUGUAA